CAAGCCACUUUAGCAACAACCAAAGAAUCAACCUCCACGUUUACUUUGCCAAAGCCACUAUCCCAAGCUAACCUUAAGCCUUGAAUAACAGCCCAAACCUCUGUGCUUCCAGAGCCAAACACACUCCAGCAUUGAUGGUCCGUUAGCGUUUCUGUUUAACCCACCACCCCCAGCAACAUGAGAAUCACUCCUUACUAGCCCC
rnacentral:lncRNA from 1 species